CUGGGCUAGACAACGGCGGACCGUCCUAGAAAUAGGAUUUUCCCUUCGGGGACUGCCGGUUCAGGUGCUGCAUGGCUGCCGUCAGCUCGUGCCGUGAGGUGUUGGGUUAAGUCCCGCAACGAGCGCAACCCUCGUCCUUAGUUGCCACCAUUCAGUUGGGCACUCUAGGGAGACUGCCGGCGUUAAGCCGGAGGAAGGUGGGGACGACGUCAAGUCAUCAUGGCCCUUAUGUCCAGGGCCACACACGUGCUACAAUGGACGGUACAAAGGGUCGCAAACCCGUGAGGGGGAGCCAAUCCCAAAAAGCCGUUCUCAGUUCGGAUUGGAGUCUGCAACUCGACUCCAUGAAGUUGGAAUCGCUAGUAAUCGCGGAUCAGCACGCCGCGGUGAAUACGUUCCC
rnacentral:rRNA from 1 species